AGCGGAACACUGAGUCAUCCAGGGCGUGAGCUGCUGAGGGAAUGUAGUGAAAGUCCCCUUGAGGUAAAAGCAGGAUUCUGUUAUUUGGCAUUCACAGAGCAACAGUCCUCCAUCUAGGGUCAGACCUCAUGGGGCAGAGGACCCAGAGAGUUAGACCGUAUCACCUCCGCCUUACAGAAGAGAAGAGCCAACGCUGGGAGACAUUUACUAACACCUUUGAGGCCACAGGUGGGCCCUAAAUCUGAUGAUGAGCGUUCUCAGAAGAGGGAAAAGGACGCAGGGGAGAGGCCAUGGGGAGGCAGAGCCUGGGGUGAUGCUGCCAUAGGCCAAGAGACACCCAGAGCUGGAAGAGGUGAGGAAGGACUGUCCCUCGGAGCCUGUGGAGAGAGUGUGGCUCCCCCAACAUUUCGAGUCUGGACUCCCGGCCUCCAGAACAGAGAGAGAAUAAACUUCUGCUUUUUAAGCCACCCAGUUUGUGGCAAUUUGUGACAGCAGUCCUGGGAAAUUAUCCCCAACCUUUACCUCGCAGAUCUGCUUGAAGCCAAUCUGGAACAACGUGGGCACAGAAAAAACACAGAGGAGAGGCAGGACAAGGGACAGCGAACACCCGUUCAGUUGGGAUGGGUCUUCCUUCCAGCCCACCUGACAGGCUUCUGCUUUGAACUCGAACCGAAACCAACCAGAGAAAACGCCAGCACGCUUAGAACACGUAUCACCAGCUUCUCAAAAUACUCUUACCUACUUAAGGCUUUAGGCUGCGGGUCUUAAUUCUAUGACACACCUCUGCAAUCUCAGAGUUGCAAUGAAGAUAAUUUAUUUUGGAGAGAGAAUGUAAUAGCUCCAGGCUUUUUUUCCCCCCUUGCCUUUCUAAAAGGCAAAUCCAUCUUAAAAAAAAAAAAAAAAAAGUACUCAUCACCCAUAAUCUUACUACUGUAACAGAUUUCUCAUUUUCAAAAAUUACCUCUCCAUUAAAAUAUUUUUUCUUUGCUCCUUCACCAAGCCAAGUGAUUAUAUACGUAUACAUAUAUAUGGUUUUGUUUUUGUUUUGUUUUUUUUGCUCAUUUAGCUAAACACGGACCCAGGAGUUGUUGGAUUUCCAUCAAAGAUAUGUGAGAGCAGCAUUGUAAUUCUUUUUUUUCUUUAAAUUUUUUUAUUGUUAUGUUAAUCACCAUA